rnacentral:rRNA from 1 species
CCUACGGGUGGCAGCAGUGGGGAAUAUUGGGCAAUGGGCGCAAGCCUGACCCAGCAACGCCGCGUGAAGGAAGAAGGCUUUCGGGUUGUAAACUUCUUUUAAGAGGGAAGAGCAGAAGACGGUACCUCUUGAAUAAGCCACGGCUAACUACGUGCCAGUAGCCGCGGUAAUACGUAGGUGGCAAGCGUUGUCCGGAUUUACUGGGUGUAAAGGGCGUGUAGCCGGGCUGACAAGUCAGAUGUGAAAUCCCGUGGCUCAACCACGGAACUGCAUUUGAAACUGUCGGUCGUGAGUAUCGGUGAGGCAGGCGGAAUUCCGAGUGUAGCGGUGAAAUGCGUAUAUAUUAGGAGGAACACCAGUGGCGAGGGCGGCCGGAUGGACGACAACGGACGGUGAGGCGCGAAAGCGUGGGGAGCAAACAGGAUUAGAUACCCCAGUAGUC